CCUACGGGAGGCAGCAGUAGGGAAUAUUGCUCAAUGGGCGAAACCCUGAAGCAGCGACGCCGCGUGAGGGAUGAAGGUCUUCGGAUUGUAAACCCCUUUUGUUAGGGAAGAUAAUGACGGUAUCUAACGAGUAAGCACUGGCUAACUCCGGGCCAGCAGCCGCGGGAAUACGGAGGGCGCAAGCGUUAGUCGGAAUGACUGGGCGUAAAGAGCGCGUAGGCUGGAUAGCAAGUCAGAUGUGAAAUCCUAUUGCUUAACCAUAGAACUGCAUUUGAAACUGUUAUUCUAGAGUGUGUGAGAGGUAGGUGGAAUUCUUGGUGUAGGGGUAAAAUCCGUAGAGAUCAAGAGGAAUACUCAUUGCGAAGGCGACCUGCUAGAACAUAACUGACGCUGAUGCGCGAAAGCGUGGGGAGCAAACAGGAUUAGAUACCCUGGUAGUC
rnacentral:rRNA from 1 species